rnacentral:rRNA from 1 species
AUUGAACGCUGGCGGCAUGCUUUACACAUGCAAGUCGAACGGUAACAGGUUAAGCUGACGAGUGGCGAACGGGUGAGUAAUGCAUCGGAACGUGCCCGGUCGUGGGGGAUAACACUUCGAAAGAAGUGCUAAUACCGCAUACGAUCUGAGGAUGAAAGCGGGGGACCGUAAGGCCUCGCGCGAUCGGAGCGGCCGAUGUCAGAUUAGGUAGUUGGUGGGGUAAAGGCCCACCAAGCCGACGAUCUGUAGCUGGUCUGAGAGGACGACCAGCCACACUGGGACUGAGACACGGCCCAGACUCGUACGGGAGGCAGCAGUGGGGAAUUUUGGACAAUGGGCGCAAGCCUGAUCCAGCAAUGCCGCGUGCAGGAAGAAGGCCUUCGGGUUGUAAACUGCUUUUGUACGGAGCGAAAAGGCUCCCUCUAAUACAGGGGGCUGAUGACGGUACCGUAAGAAUAAGCACCGGCUAACUACGUGCCAGCCGCCGCCGUAACAC